rnacentral:lncRNA from 1 species
GCCAGCCCACUGACCAGAGCAUGGGGGCACACGGGCUUUUCCAUCAGGGGUUGCUGCCUUCAGCCUUCAUUGCAGCAAGAAGGAUGCAAGCUAGACACAUGGCCUAUCUGUGACAGUCCACUAGCUGGCGGUUCCUUCUGUGCCUAGAACCAGGGGUGAGUUUUAUGCAGGCUUCACCGUGACUCUUACCCUACAACUGGGGAAGCUAAGUCUCUGAGAGGCUCUUAAAGACCACUCAGUUCUACCCUUGGGGGUCUUUCUUGCUGGUCUUCAGAGGCUGUUUGAGGCUGAGAGGUGGUACUACUGAUACUGAAAGGUCAGGCAGGACACACACUGGCCAGCAUCCUUAGUGCCUCGCUUUUCCUUGACUUACUCUGAUGGCCCUGACUUUCAAGGCAACUCUCCGAAAUUUACAAGUGCCACACGUCAUUCUCCCCCCCCGCCCCCCCCCCGCUGUAAGUUGCCCCAGGCCCCUCACCCUCCAACAUCGUUCGGAUGCAUAUAUUCCUGUUCUGCUAUGACGCUUCGAACCUGGUCACUGCCACCUACAAACCACACAUCCCCAUAAUAAAGAUCCCAAGCAGAGAAAAGGGACCGUUUUAUUUCUUAGAUUUAGAGUGAUCUUGGGCAGCGAUUUUUCCCUUUCUGUUUAUUUCCAUUAAAGUUGUGGUUUGCACAGUAUUUUUACAUUUUUCUGUGAUUGUGUUUUUUUUUUUCUUCCUAUUUUCAAGUAAAAUGAACUCAUUAUAAAAGUGCAGAAAGGUAAGGAAAACUAUCAAAAUCUCUCAUAACGCCAUGUUCAAACACAGUCACUUAUGAGUACAAUAACAGCUUGCCUUCCAACAAGUCUGCUGUUUAUCACUUACAAUAACCCUGAAUCAAAACAUUUUUUCCUGGAAAAAAAACAAGC